rnacentral:rRNA from 1 species
AUGGUUCCAUCCGGGUACGACUGCGCCGCCUCCGUGCUGCUCUGCGCCGAGGACAACGCCGCCAUCCUCGGCCUCGACGACGACGAGGACGACUGCUCCUGGGCGGCGGCGGCGGGGUCCGCCACCCCGCCGCGCGUCGCCGCCGAUGCCGCCGCCGCGGCGGAGGGGUUCCUGGUGGACCACCCCGUGCAGUCCGACGAGUGCGUGGCGGCGCUCGUCGCGACUGAGAAGGAGCACAUGCCGGCCGACGGGUACCCCCAGAUGCUGCUGCGCCGGGCCGGGGCCCUGGAUUUGGCCGCCGUCAGGAGGGACGCCAUAGAUUGGAUUUGGAAGGUCAUUGAGCAUUUCAAUUUCGCGCCGUUGACUGCGGUCCUGUCUGUCAACUACCUUGAUAGGUUCCUCUCCGUCUAUCCCCUUCCUGAGUUGGUGUUCAGACCUUCAGAGAUUGCUGCAAGUGUUGCACUUGCUGCAUUUGGGGAGCGCAAUACUUCAGUAGUCGAGCGGGCUACAACUACCUGCAAGUACAUAAACAAGGAGCGAGUGUUAAGAUGCUACGAACUGAUUCAAGACAAGAUAGCAAUGGGAACCAUUGUCCUAAAGUCAGCUGGAUCAUCAAUGUUCUCUGUGCCGCAAAGCCCGAUAGGUGUGUUGGAUGCUGCUGCAUGUCUCAGCCAACAGAGUGAUGAUACUGCUGUUGGAUCUCCAGCAACAUGCUACCAAGCCUCUUCGGCAAGCAAAAGGAGGAGAAUUGGCAGAUGA